rnacentral:rRNA from 1 species
UACGUAGGAUGCGAGCGUUAUCCGGAAUUAUUGGGCGUAAAGGGCGCGUAGGCGGCCCGGUAAGUCUGAAGUGAAAGUCCUGUUUUUAAGAUGGGAAUUGCUUUGGAUACUGUCGGGCUUGAGUGCAGGAGAGGUAAGUAGAAUUCCCAGUGUAGCGGUGAAAUGCGUAGAGAUUGGGAGGAACACCAGUGGCGAAGGCGACUUACUGGACUGUAACUGACGCUGAGGCGCGAAAGUGUGGGGAGCAAAC